rnacentral:rRNA from 1 species
CCUACGGGAGGCAGCAGUCGAGAAUCAUUCACAAUGGGGGAAACCCUGAUGGUGCGACGCCGCGUGGGGGAAUGAAGGUCUUCGGAUUGUAAACCCCUGUCAUGUGGGAGCAAAUUAAAAAGAUAGUACCACAAGAGGAAGAGACGGCUAACUCUGUGCCAGCAGCCGCGGUAAUACAGAGGUCUCAAGCGUUGUUCGGAAUCACUGGGCGUAAAGCGUGCGUAGGCUGUUUCGUAAGUCGUGUGUGAAAGGCGCGGGCGGAACCCGCGGACGGCACAUGAUACUGCGAGACUAGAGUAAUGGAGGGGGAACCGGAAUUCUCGGUGUAGCAGUGAAAUGCGUAGAUAUCGAGAGGAACACUCGUGGCGAAGGCGGGUUCCUGGACAUUAACUGACGCGGAGGCACGAAGGCCAGGGGAGCGAAAGGGAUUAGAUACCCCUGUAGUC